rnacentral:snoRNA from 1 species
ACUGAGGGAUGAUGACAAUAAAAGGCCGAAUUGCAGUGUCUCCGUCAGCAGUUUGCUCUCUCUGGGUGCACAAUGACAAAAUCUCCUGAAGCGAACCACUCGUCUGACCUCAGU